rnacentral:rRNA from 1 species
AGGCGCGGUUAAACCAAGAAGGUUAAGUAAUAUCAGAACGGUAAAAAGACAGUUAGAUAACGUAUUUUUAAUAAGUUUACUUAAUUUCUAUAAAAGGGUAGAAUUUGCAUAUAGAUAUAAAAUCUAAAGAUAACUUAUGUAUUGAACCUGUGAUAGCCUUGAGGGAAACUGGGAUUAGAUACCCCAUUAUUCUUGGCCGUAAAAAAAUUAAAUUUACCAGAGUACUAUGAACUAAGAAGUUUAAAACUCAAAGAGCUUGGCGGUGUUUUAGACCUCUCAGGGGAACCUGUCUCAUAAUCGACAAUCCACGUUAUACCUAACCCUAUUUUGCUUUUACAGUUUGUAUACCGUCGUCGUCAGGUAACUUUUAAAAAUUUAGAAGUUAGCAAAAAAGCUUUGUAAGCUUACACGUCAGAUCAAGGUGCAGCCUAUAUUAGGGUGAGGAUGGGUUACAAUUAUAAAAUCAUAACUACGAAAUAACUAUAAUAAUACAUAAUUAUAAGGAGGACUUGAAAGUAAAAUAAAUUAUAAAAACAUUUUGAAUAAGGCUCUGAAACGUGUACAAAUUG